CGGAGGUGCAUUGUAGUCGCAUUGUCUGUCUCAAAUUUGCCCGCGGCAAUACAACUGCAGUGCAAGCUCCG
rnacentral:pre_miRNA from 1 species